UACCCAGGAGCAAAGUGAGGCCAGGUCAGCCAAGAGCACUGCUGGAUCCUUACAAAGAAAACAAAUUAAGUGACAUCAGCUGUAGACUGCCUAUAACAGGGCCAGCAGCACCCAGUCAGCCACAAGACAUUACUCCAGAGACCUACAGGUAACUGUGAGUGCGCCUCCCAGGACCAGCAUGAGCCGGGAUCCUCUUCCCUGACACCCCUGGAUGCCUCCUUAGAGAAAGAAGCAGCCGCUGGAGAAGGCCAUCUGAGAAACUGAAUCCAGUUCUGCAUUUCCUGUGACUGCCAGACACUUCCGCCCAGAAGUCCCAUUGACACCUCAACUCAGUAGGACUAAAACUAGAACUUCUUCUCCAACUCACUCAUUCUACUACCGCAGAUAUUCACUCAAAAUCCCAUCAAAUUCUUCCUUCAACUUGUUAGCCACAUUUGUUAAGAUGAGAUCAUGGCCAGGUUCCUUGAUUUAACAAUCAUUCGAGAAUAAAAAGUCAUCCAAGGAUUCUGGGAAGAUGGCAGAGUAGGAAGCACCAGGAAUCUGUCUCCCCACCUAGAUAAUAAUUGUAUUGGCAGAAUCUGUCUGAUAUUAUAUUAUUUUGGAACUUUGUGGAGUUUACUGAAGACUUGCAACUUCCAAGGGAAGGCAUGGACAGUAAAUGGAGUCAAGUUCGGCUCUUAGCACAGUAACAGCUACCCAUCUCCUACCCCCAGCCUUGUGGCCGACACUGUGCAUAUGUUCCUGGAGCAGCCUGCCCACAGCUGGCAGGCCAGAGAGAACCCUGUCCUCCAAAUGCUCUGCAAACUGAUUGAUGCCUCUGAUCACAAAGAUGCAGACAAAAAGGUGGGCAGUCAUUGUUGCUCCUCUCCCCCAUUGUUUCAAGCCCCUCCCCUUCCAGUUAAAGUAACUUCUAGGGAAUUUAAAAAGCCAAUGCCCUUUUCUCCCCUCUCAUUUUCCUUUUUCCCUUUUGAAUGCCAGAUAUUAAAGACUAAGACAUUGAAAAACAAUUGCAUAUAUGGGGAAAAUUAGAAAGUUACCAUGCAUUUUCAAGGAAAGGCUCAGAAAGGAUCUGAGAAGACCUUAACUUUAUACCUCAGAGGGAUCCUUGGCAUAGAGACAGCCUACAAAAAUCAAAAAGACAAAAAUAAUAAACAAACAAUAAUAAAAAACAGCACACCUUGGGGAAGGGGGUGAAUCUUAUUUCCAGAAUUGCCACAUUACUAGGUUCAAAUAUCUAGUUUUCAACCAAAAAAUCAUAAGGCAUACAAAGAAACAGGAAAGUUUUGCCCCUUUAAGGAAAAAACUAAACCAACAAAAACUGUCUCUGAAAAAGACGUGAUGGCAAAUCUAUUACAUAGAGAGUAUGAAAAAACUGUCUUAAAGAUGCUCAAAGAACUAAAGAAAAAUU